GGUUCAGGCCCAUGUAGGGCUCGUUCAUAUGGAGGAGAAAGUAUGAAGUGGGCACCACACCCAGUUUGCAGCAUGCCUCUAUGUCCAUUAAUCCAGUAAACUGAGCAGAAACAAAACAAGGUGUGUUACAUGGGGAUAUUCUUACAACAUGACAUGCCUGUAUGCACCAAAGAGGGGACAUCAAUGGAAAGAGGAACUCCUGGCAUGUACCAGGGACUCACCCUCUAGGUCCAGCUCUUCCCUUUGUUAUCCAGCCUCUAAUGCCCACACAGCGGACCAGCCUGUGGCAUGCACCUUGGCCAUGAAGAGUCAUCACAGAUUGGAAACUGCAAAGGAUCAGAUAACCAUGGAGGUCGCAGGGUCAGCAGCGAGAAAUGGGUUUGAAGAGGGACUAUCUGGCGGCACAGAGACGCCUGGUGCGAAGCAGAUAACCACCUGGAAGCAGGUGCAGGAACUGGCGGCCACUAAGAGAGCUGAACCACCCAACUUCGAGAAGUCGUAUCUGGAUGAUCAGAGUUCCAUGUUCUACAACAGAAUAAUGUGGAGGGACUGGCAGUACCUGCAUGAAGUAGACCUCCCCAGCAGCCAGCACUUUGAUUUCACAGUCCUGUCCUACAACAUCCUCUCGCAGGACCUGCUAGAGAAGUACAUGUAUCUCUACCAGCACUGCUCCCCUGAUAUCCUCCGCUGGGAAUACCGCUGGCCCAAAAUCCUCAGGGAACUGCAGUACUGGGAUGCUGAGGUUCUCUGUCUUCAGGAGGUUCAAGAAGACCAUUACAGGCAGUACGUGCAGCCGACCCUCUCUGCAUACGGGUACAACUCGCACUACAAGCGGCGGACAGGCCGGAGAACCGAUGGUUGCUGCACCAGUUUCAAAGCUCAAUACUUCACGCUGCUCUGCGAGAGGCAUGUGGAAUAUUUCCGACCUGGGAUUGAAGUGUUAAACUGUGACAAUGUGGGGAUCGUGCUCUUACUGCAGCCAAGGCUCGCUGACUCACAAGACGGGUGCCCACCUACUCCGCUGUGUGUGGCAAAUACCCACCUUGCCUACCACCCUGAAAGAGGGGACGCUAAGCUGGCACAAGUGGCACUUUUACUGGCUGAGGUAGAUGAGCUCUCUUGUUCUAGUAACGGCUCUCGUUGCCCAAUCAUCCUGUGUGGAGAUCUGAACUCAACGCCCAACUCUCCGCUCUACCAGCUGCUGCACAAUGGUGUCCUGGAUUGCAAAAGAGGACUGCCAGCGUGGAAGGUCUCGGGACAGCGGCUCUCAGGACCACCUCAUUCAAAGCCUCUGUCUUCUCCUCUGUGGCCGGAUAUACUGGGGAUCAAUAACCACUGUCAAUAUGUUACACAGAAGGCAACAAGGACCACAGAUAGACGCAUGUACACCCGGGAAGACAUCCUGCAGCUCCGCGAUUAUGCGUUACUGCGCCCAGAGUAUCUUGCUGUGAUCGAGGGAGUGACCGAUAAACAGCCAGGGGGUGAGGAGUUGGGGCCACGCCUUCUUCUGCAGCACCGCCUUAACCUGACCUCUGCGUAUCUCCAUUACCUUGCGGCAAAAAACCGCCCGGAAGUAACCAUCCUCUCACUUGGUGUCGGAAGCACUGUGGAUUACAUCUUUUAUUCUGCUGAGCCGUUUCCAGCACGCCCGAAUAAAGGUCUACGCUUCUUCGUGGACGGUCAGUUGAAGCUAUUGGGGAGGUUGUGUCUUCUCUCUGAGGAUGAUCUGCUCAAGGCACAAGGGCUUCCAAACCCAUGGUACAGCUCAGACCACCUCCACCUGGUUGCCCGGUUCAGUUUGGAACUGUCGAAGUGACCAAUUGUGAUGUAGAGCCUACCGUCUGGCGUCCACCAUCAUUACCCCCAGGUUUGGUUUCAUGAAAUUGCAACCCCCCAACAUUUAAAGCAUCACCGAGUGCAGUCUCUCAUUCCUAAGACUCUGGGCAUGUGGUAUCAGAUGGUGGCAUGUGUUCUGUCUUUCUACGUGUGUUUAUACGGAAGGAUGUAGCGAGAGCUGAAGCGCGCCGUGCGGUCGCAGACUACAGUCUUGUUUGCAGCGUGCGGCUGUAUAGAGCGGAUAAGAUACCGCGUGCAGCUUAGGCUGGCAUGCACCACGGUGACUUGAAUAUUUUUACACACUGAACAAGAAAUAAGACCAGGCCGACUUAACUUGUUUAUUGGGAAUUCAGUGUAAAAGUGCUGGGAUAAAUAUGGUCAGAAAACAAGGUUCUCCGCUAGGCCGGUGCAUUCACACGAUACAUCGGGCAUGAGAGCAAUUACUGGGUCCUGACAGGCUGGCACAUGUGGCUUGGUGAUAAGGCAAUCUGCAAAGGGUUAAUACGGAGCUGUAGCCCUUUACCCCCCAUAGUGGUUAUUAACUGACCCCUCCCCAAUAUUCCAUUCACCCUCCACAGCAUCUUGUUCCCACAUCUCAAGUUUCACAUUUCAUUGAUGCAGGAACAAGUUGGCCCGAUCUGGAAUUGGCCACGGGUCCCUUUGCGUCACUGUACUAGUGGGGGGAGGGGUAUUCCAGGUAGCAUGAAGGGGUGAAAAAGGGCAAGUUCAUAAGGUGGGUGGUCUCUUCUCAGACCCGGAUCUGGUAGCCGCCGAGGUCAGGUAGAGAGUUGGGGUCCGCAGGUUUUUCCCCAGACGGCCUGCGGAGACAUAAAA